CUUGCCCCUAGAGGCCUUGCUGGCACGGCUGCUAUGUCGCAUGUGUGUCAGUAGGUGGCAGAGAGGAGAGAGGCUGUGUCUACACUCAGUGCUCUAACCUGUGAACAUCUGAAUGGUUAGUAGCCUAACAGACCCUGAGAGA
rnacentral:snoRNA from 1 species